rnacentral:rRNA from 1 species
UACAGAGGGUGCGAGCGUUAAUCGGAAUUACUGGGCGUAAAGCGCGUGUAGGCGGUCCGGUAAGUCCGCUGUGAAAGUCGGGGGCUCAACCCUCGGAUGCCGGUGGAUACUGUCGGGCUUGAGUACGGAAGAGGCGAGUGGAAUUCCUGGUGUAGCGGUGAAAUGCGCAGAUAUCAGGAGGAACACCAAUUGCGAAGGCAGCUCGCUGGGACGUUACUGACGCUGAGACGCGAAAGCGUGGGGAGCAAACAGG